GCUGGGCGCAGUGGCACACACCUGUAAUCCCAGCAGCUCGGGAGGCUGAGGCAGGAGGAUUGCAAGUUCAAAGCCAGCCUCAGCAAUGGUGAGGUGCUUAACAACUCAGUGAGACCUUGUCUCUA
rnacentral:sRNA from 1 species